rnacentral:rRNA from 1 species
GGGACACGUGGUAUCCUGUCUGAAUAUGGGGGGACCAUCCUCCAAGGCUAAAUACUCCUGACUGACCGAUAGUGAACCAGUACCGUGAGGGAAAGGCGAAAAGAACCCCGGCGAGGGGAGUGAAAAAGAACCUGAAACCGUGUACGUACAAGCAGUGGGAGCACCUUCGGGUGUGACUGCGUACCUUUUGUAUAAUGGGUCAGCGACUUAUAUUCUGUAGCAAGGUUAACCGUAUAGGGGAGCCGCAGGGAAACCGAGUCUUAACUGGGCGUUAAGUUGCAGGGUAUAGACCCGAAACCCGGUGAUCUAGCCAUGGGCAGGUUGAAGGUUGGGUAACACUAACUGGAGGACCGAACCGACUAAUGUUGAAAAAUUAGCGGAUGACUUGUGGCUGGGGGUGAAAGGCCAAUCAAACCGGGAGAUAGCUGGUUCUCCCCGAAAGCUAUUUAGGUAGCGCCUCGUGAACUCAUCUUCGGGGGUAGAGCACUGUUUCGGCUAGGGGGUCAUCCCGACUUACCAACCCGAUGCAAACUACGAAUACCGAAGAAUGUUAUCACGGGAGACACACGGCGGGUGCUAACGUCCGUCGUGAAGAGGGAAACAACCCAGACCGCCAGCUAAGGUCCCAAAGUCAUGGUUAAGUGGGAAACGAUGUGGGAAGGCACAGACAGCCAGGAUGUUGGCUUAGAAGCAGCCAUCAUUUAAAGAAAGCGUAAUAGCUCACUGGUCGAGUCGGCCUGCGCGGAAGAUGUAACGGGGCUAAACCAUGCACCGAAGCUGCGGCAGCGACACUAUGUGUUGUUGGGUAGGGGAGCGUUCUGUAAGCCUGCGAAGGUGUGCUGUGAGGCAUGCUGGAGGUAUCAGAAGUGCGAAUGCUGACAUAAGUAACGAUAAAGCGGGUGAAAAGCCCGCUCGCCGGAAGACCAAGGGU